GUCUAUGGCCAUGCCACCCUAAACAAGCCCAAUCCCAUCUGAUCUUGGAAGCUAACCAGGGUCGGGCCUGGUUUGUACUUGGAUGGGAGACCACCUAGGAAGACCAGAUGCUGUAGGCA
rnacentral:rRNA from 1 species